AGAAGGUCAAAGUUUAACCUAAGUGCAGUGUAGCUGAUGAACAUCUUUAUAUUCCCUUUAUUAAUCUGGGGUAACCACAGCGGAAUGAACUGUCAAUUUAUCCAGCAUAUGUUUUACGCAGUGGAUGCCCUUCCAGCUGCAAGCCAUCACUGGGAAACAACCAUAUACGCUUAUUCACACUCAUACACUACAGACAAUUAAGCCUACCCAAUUCACCUGUACCCCAUGUCUUUGGACUUGUAGGCAAAACCGGAGCACCCAGAGAAAACCCACGCAAACGCAGGGAGAAUUUGCAGACUCCACACAGAAAUGCCAGCUGAAAUGGAUGCCUGAUUGCAGUUCAACUCCAAACUCAGUUGGACCAGCUGAUCAGUGUCUUCAGUAUUACCACCAGCUACUGGGCAGAUGUGUGGACAGCUAUGAGCCAAACUUGGGACGUUUGGUUUUUAGGUGGAGAGACCGUCUGGGCAGCAGAAACAAGACAACUAAUCAUAGUCCUCCUGAUCAUUCUGUUCUCCUGGUUGUGAGGAUGUGCAGAGGCUGUAUUUGUCAGUGUUAAAAGACUUGUGCAGCUGUAUCUAGACAUACAAGCAGCCGACAAAGAGUUCUGGAGCAGGACAGACAGG
ensembl:processed_transcript